GCGUAGGCGGAUAUUUAAGUGAGAUGUGAAAUUCCCGGGCUUAACUUGGGAGCUGCAUUUCAAACUGGAUAUCUAGAGUGCGGGAGAGGAGAAUGGAAUUCCUAGUGUAGCGGUGAAAUGCGUAGAGAUUAGGAAGAACACCAGUGGCGAAGGCGAUUCUCUGGACCGUAACUGACGCUGAGGCAUGAAAGCGUGGGUAGCAAACAGGAUUAGAUACCCUGGUAGUCCACGCCGUAAACGAUGAGUACUAGGUGUAGGAGGUAUCGACUCCUUCUGUGCCGCAGUUAACACAAUAAGUACUCCGCCUGGGAAGUACGAUCGCAAGAUUAAAACUCAAAGGAAUUGACGGGGGCCCGCACAAGCAGCGGAGCAUGUGGUUUAAUUCGAAGCAACGCGAAGAACCUUACCUGGACUUGACAUCCCCUGAAUAGUGCAGAGAUGCAUGAAGCCCUUCGAGGCAGGGAGACAGGUGGUGCAUGGUUGUCGUCAGCUCGUGUCGUGAGAUGUUAGGUUAAGUCCUGCAACGAGCGCAACCCCUAUCAUUAGUUGCUACCAUUAAGUUGAGCACUCUAGUGAGACUGCCCGGGUUAACCGGGAGGAAGGUGGGGAUGACGUCAAAUCAUCAUGCCCCUUAUGUCCAGGGCUACACACGUGCUACAAUGGUAGGUACAGAGAGAUGCAAGACCGCGAGGUGGAGCAAAACUCAAAAACCUAUCCCAGUUCGGAUUGUAGGCUGCAACUCGCCUACAUGAAGCCGGAGUUGCUAGUAAUCGCGAAUCAGAAUGUCGCGGUGAAUACGUUCCCGGGCCUUGUACACACCGCCCGUCACACCAUGAGAGCUGGCAACACCCGAAGUCCGUGAGGUAACCUGUAAAGGA
rnacentral:rRNA from 1 species